rnacentral:tRNA from 1 species
UCCCUGGUGGUUCAGAGGUUAAAGCGUCUGCUUGCAAUGUGGGAGACCUGGGUUCGAUUCCUGGGUGGGGAA